CCUACGGGAGGCAGCAGUGGGGAAUCUUGCACAAUGGGCGGAAGCCUGAUGCAGCCAAGCCGCGUGGGUGAAGAAGGUCUUCGGUAUGUAAAACCCUUUUUGUCGAGAAGCAAGUGCUGGGGCGCAUCCGCUCAUGUGUCGACGUUAACUAACCACAACGCCUCAGCUAACUCCGUGCCAGCCGCCGCGGUAAUACGUAGGUGGCAAGCGUUAAUCGGAUUUAUUGGGCGUAAAGGGAACGCAGGCGGUCUUUUAAGUCUGAUGGGAAAGCCCUGGGCUUAACCCGGGCAGUGCAGUGGAAACUGGCAGGCUUGAGUGCGGGAGAGGUGUGUGGAACUCCAGGUGUAGCGGUGAAAUGCGUAGAUAUAGGGAAGAACACCGGUGGCGAAGGCGGCACUCUGG
rnacentral:rRNA from 1 species